rnacentral:rRNA from 1 species
CCUACGGGUGGCAGCAGUGGGGAAUAUUGGGCAAUGGGCGCAAGCCUGACCCAGCAACGCCGCGUGAAGGAAGAAGGCCCUCGGGUUGUAAACUUCUUUUAACAGGGACGAAGAAAGUGACGGUACCUGUUGAAUAAGCCACGGCUAACUACGUGCCAGCAGCCGCGGUAAUACGUAGGUGGCAAGCGUUAUCCGGAUUUACUGGGUGUAAAGGGCGUGUAGGCGGGAGAGCAAGUCAGACGUGAAAUUCCAGGGCUCAACCCUGGAACUGCGUUUGAAACUGUUCUUCUUGAGUGAAGUAGAGGCAGGCGGAAUUCCUAGUGUAGCGGUGAAAUGCGUAGAUAUUAGGAGGAACACCAGUGGCGAAGGCGGCCUGCUGGGCUUUUACUGACGCUGAGGCUCGAAAGUGUGGGGAGCAAACAGGAUUAGAUACCCUAGUAGUC